rnacentral:lncRNA from 1 species
GUUAGAUCUAAAAUAUCUAAAAAUGAGGUUAACCUAAAGAACAGUAGCACCUUAGACUAAGUCAUAUCGAAAAAGAAAGAAUUAACAGACUGGUGAAAGAUGAUCCUUUAGACUCGUUCUCGGAUGAGUUGUUUCCAAUCUAUGAGUCCUACCUUCAGAAAAAUAUGAUCAAACUUUCCUUUGUAGGAUACGAGGAAAGGACUACUAAAGUACUGGCUCUGGUACAUACUGAUAUAUACAGUCCAUUUGAUGUGCCGGCU